CACAAAUAGAAAAGGCACCGGUUCAGCCCAAACCGGUGCCAAAAAUAAAAAGAGCACCGGUUUGAACCGGUGCCUUUACGAACUGGUCCAUUUAAAUAUAAAAAAAAACCGCCCUUAUAAAAAACCCCCCUAACCCUAAUUAUCUCAGCCGCGUCUCUCUCCUCUCCUCUCCUCUUUCUCUCUCCUCCUCCUCUUCUUUCUCGCCGAUCUACCUCCUUCAUUCUUCAUCUUUCGCCGAUCUACCUCCUCCAACAAUUCGAAAACCACCAACAAAUCGACGACAACAACAUGCAACAAAGAUUUUGAGGUACUUAUAUCUUAAAUUGAAGAAUCAAGAUGCAAGUAUAUUGAUUUAGAUGUUGUAUGGGUUUUUUUAUUGUAAAGUUGUAAAUUUUUAUUUUGAUUUAUAUUGUAUUUUUUUUUAUUCAUAUGUUGCAAUUUUUUUAUUUUGAUUUAUAUGUUGUAAUUUUUUUUUAUUGAUUUAUACUGUAAAUUUUUUUUGAUUAUAUACAUAUUGAACAGAUUUGAUUUA